rnacentral:rRNA from 1 species
GAUGAGCGCUGGCGGCGUGCCUAAUACAUGCAAGGUCGAGCGGUAACAGGUCUAGUUUACUAGAUGCUGACGAGCGGCGGACGGCUGAGUAACACGUAGGAAUGUACCCCAAAGUGAGGGAUAACUGCUCGAAAGAGUAGCUAAUACCGCAUGUGAUCUAAGGAUUAAAGCUUUAUGCGCUUUGGGAACAGCCUGCGUUCGAUUAGCUAGUUGGUGAGGUAANGGCUCACCAAGGCGAUGAUCGAUAGCUGGUCUGAGAGGAUGAUCAGCCAGACUGGGACUGAGACACGGCCCAGACUCCUACGGGAGGCAGCAGUAGGGAAUUUUCCACAAUGGACGAAAGUCUGAUGGAGCAACGCCGCGUGCAGGAUGAAUGUCUUCGGAUUGUAAACUGUCUUUUGUUGGUGAAGAAUAUG